GUGAAUCAUCAAAUUUUUGAACGCAAAUUGCACUCUCGUCUGAGAGUAUGCCUGUUUGAGGGUCAGCCUAUAAAAAAACGACAUCGUUGCUUUUGCGCGGUGGCGUUCGUCAGAAAGUGGGUUAUCUUAAAUCCUUUUGGGAUUUGAGCGACUUACAAUUUUCUUGUUGUUUGCAUGAACGAGUCU
rnacentral:misc_RNA from 1 species